rnacentral:rRNA from 1 species
UACGAAGGGGGCUAGCGUUGCUCGGAAUUACUGGGCGUAAAGCGCACGUAGGCGGAUCUUUAAGUCAGGGGUGAAAUCCUGGAGCUCAACUCCAGAACUGCCUUUGAUACUGAGGACCUUGAGUUCGGGAGAGGUGAGUGGAGCUGCGAGUGUAGAGGUGAAAUUCGUAGAUAUUCGCAAGAACACCAGUGGCGAAGGCGGCUCACUGGCCCGAUACUGACGCUGAGGUGCGAAAGCGUGGGGAGCGAACAGG